rnacentral:lncRNA from 1 species
GGGAACCCUCGUAGGUUAAGGUGCCGGGAUGCACGUUUGCCGCUUUUUUUCCCGGUGAAACUUGAGCUGUGAGCCCAGAAACCCUAGGGACCGGAGCCCGAUGGAAUGAAGCCUCCGGGUCCACUUCUCAUGGCCUUCCACCCUGGAGAAGGCACCAUUUUAGCCCACCCAGCCGCAGAAUCCCCUACAGCUAGUUUUCUUCUGUCUUGUGCCCACUCCCCCGGCUCUGCCCUGACAGCUUCUGGAGCUCUCUAGAUUGACCCUCGUCCCUGCCCUCCAGCUUGUGGGACGUCUCUCACACUGCCCGUGCUUAUUUUACCAAACCGCAGGAACAAGAUUUACGUGUUAAAUACCUGAUUUCAUGGACUGUGUGCCCCGGCUGUUCUAACCAAAACAGUCACGCGCCUGUUUCCCAUCUCUUGACCCUCGUGUUAUGUUACUGUUUUCCUGUCAUAUUUGGGAGUUAGUCUCUGAGUUUUCUUCCCAGGUGCCUUAGCUGGACCAAUUAUUGUGGAGCCACAUGUCACAGCAGUAUGGGGAAAGAAUGUUUCAUUAAAGUGUUUAAUUGAAGUAAAUGAAACCAUAACACAGAUUUCAUGGGAGAAGAUACAUGGCAAAAGUUCACAGACUGUUGCAGUUCACCAUCCCCAAUAUGGAUUCUCUGUUCAAGGAGAAUAUCAGGGAAGAGUCUUGUUUAAAAAUUACUCACUUAAUGAUGCAACAAUUACUCUGCAUAACAUAGGAUUCUCUGAUUCUGGAAAAUACAUCUGCAAAGCUGUUACAUUCCCGCUUGGAAAUGCCCAGUCCUCUACAACUGUAACUGUGUUAGUUGAACCCACUGUGAGCCUGAUAAAAGGGCCAGAUUCUUUAAUUGAUGGAGGAAAUGAAACAGUAGCAGCCAUUUGCAUCGCAGCCACUGGAAAACCCGUUGCACAUAUUGACUGGGAAGGUGAUCUUGGUGAAAUGGAAUCCACUACAACUUCUUUUCCAAAUGAAACGGCAACGAUUAUCAGCCAGUACAAGCUAUUUCCAACCAGAUUUGCUAGAGGAAGGCGAAUUACUUGUGUUGUAAAACAUCCAGCCUUGGAAAAGGACAUCCGAUACUCUUUCAUAUUAGACAUACAGUAUGCUCCUGAAGUUUCGGUAACAGGAUAUGAUGGAAAUUGGUUUGUAGGAAGAAAAGGUGUUAAUCUCAAAUGUAAUGCUGAUGCAAAUCCACCACCCUUCAAAUCUGUGUGGAGCAGGUUGGAUGGACAAUGGCCUGAUGGUUUAUUGGCUUCAGACAAUACUCUUCAUUUUGUCCAUCCAUUGACUUUCAAUUAUUCUGGUGUUUAUAUCUGUAAAGUGACCAAUUCCCUUGGUCAAAGAAGUGACCAAAAAGUCAUCUACAUUUCAGAUCCUCCUACUACUACCACCCUUCAGCCUACAAUUCAGUGGCAUCCCUCAACUGCUGACAUCGAGGAUCUAGCAACAGAACCUAAAAAAUUGCCCUUCCCAUUGUCAACUUUGGCAACAAUUAAGGAUGACACAAUUGCCACGAUCAUUGCUAGUGUAGUGGGUGGGGCUCUCUUCAUAGUACUUGUAAGUGUUUUGGCUGGAAUAUUCUGCUAUAGGAGAAGACGGACGUUUCGUGGAGACUACUUUGCCAAGAACUACAUUCCACCAUCAGAUAUGCAAAAAGAAUCACAAAUAGAUGUUCUUCAACAAGAUGAGCUUGAUUCUUACCCAGACAGUGU